GCGCCAUUGAGGAUGAGCUCCAGUGAAAGCAGACUAGAAGCGUUUCGUUAGUUUGUUUGUUGGGAAAGGAGAGGAAAUGCACUCACUUGUACAGAUAAACGACAGAAUUACCAUACAAGCAUUUAUAGUCAACACAACCAGAAAGAGUUCCCAUCGUUGGACGGGGAAUAUGAAGGCUUCCAAGAAUGGACAAGUGACAUGUCUAACUCUGAACAGUUAGAAAACGGACUAUCG
rnacentral:lncRNA from 1 species